CAUGCACACAAAACAAAACCUUCACCAAGGAAUAGUAUUCAUUACACGUUAUUCUACCCUAUAUCAUUUAAGGAAAAUUUGACUUCAUGACUUAGGUAUGCCUCAGGCUAUUUGAAAAAUAUUGCUCUGCAGCAAUUAGCCCAAGGACGCUCGUAGCCACCUGGUUUUCAUUUGCAAAUCACUAGAAACAAUGGUGAGGUCUUUAAUUUGGUUUUUAAAAAUAUGGUACAGGAUAUACAGUGAAAUAUUAUGUGGGAAGAAAAGGCAUAUUGGAUCCAUACAUAUUAACUUGGAAAGAUCUCAAAAACAUAAAAACAAGCAAAAAAAAAAAAAAAAAAGCACAUUGCAGAAAGAUAUUAUGAUAGUGUUUAUCUGUGUUAAUACAAAACACUAGCAAAUCUAUUUCUUGGAUCUAUAAAUAUAUGUACAGAGUUCAGAAAUCAAUUGGCUGGGAGGCUACAGGCUCCAUUCAUGCUGGAGUUUGUCUCUGGUGGUUGGAGACUAGAAGGGCAUGAACAUGCGAUGCUUUACUCUUUUGUUAAGAAUAAAAGUGGAUUCAGAGCAAAUAGAAGAAAAGGUGAACAGUGGUUGGUUAUGAGCCGUGGGCACACGUGUAUUUCAGGAUUGGGUGUCCGUUUUCCCCAGGGCCGGGGGGGAAGGAUGGUUAGCUCAAAACAAGCUAACCCAGUCCUUGCAUGGUAAGUGCCCAGGGGGCCGCGGAAGGCAAGAUGGAGAACAGCUGUUCUGAUUUCUGUUUACUGAAAACAGAAGUUGUUGAAAAGCCAGCCAGUACGUCCAGCCGAGACACUCCGCCAGACCUGAGCCCCCGCCGCGGGCAGCUCCAUCCAGUCAGUCAUCCUGCCCUCCUCCAGGACCUGAAGUUCUAGAAGACUGCACAGAGCGAGGACUUUCAAAUUCAGGACCCAAACAGCCAUUUCUGCUGAUGUAGUUAUUUCUGGCCCCAGCUGCAGAUACCAGUACUGAGAUGGAUGAUGAUGAUGAUGACUAUUCCUAUAUGAAGCAUUUCCAACAUACCCAGCUCUCUAAGCAAAGCCAACGAAGAGGCUGGAAUGGCUGUUUAUAUACUUAAGAAAAGAAAAGGAAAAACCCUCCAGAAAAUGAGUUUGACAUGGAUGCAGAGAAACUGGAGUCCUUGUGUGUGACUGGUGGGAAUGUGAAAUGGUGCAGUUGCUAUGUGCACCAAUAUAUGUUGUUAAACAAUAUGGCGGUCCCCCCAAAAGAUAAAAAUACCAUAUAGUCCAAAAAUUCUACUUCUGGGUGUACAUCCAAAAGGGCUGAAAUGAAGGACUCAAACAGAUAACUGUAUACCAGUGUUCAUAGUGGCAUUAUUCACAACACAAAAGGUAGAAACAGCCCAAAUAUCCAUUGACAGAUAAACAAAAUGUGGUAGGUACACACAAUGGGAUAUUAUUCAUCCUUUAAAAGGAAUGAAAUUCUGACACAUGCUACAACAAGGAUGAACCCUGAAGACAUUAUUUUAAGUAAAAUAAGGUAGUCACAAAAGGACAAAGUUUUUUAAAGUCCUUGAAUUUGUUACAAUAUGGCCUCUGUUUUAUGUUUUGGUGUUUAUUUGGCCGAGAGGCAUGUGGUAUCCUAGCUUUCCCGAGCAGGGAUAGAACCUGCACCCCCUACAUUGGAAGGAAGAAGUCUUAACAACUGGACCACCAGGGAAGACAAAAUGAAAAGUAUUUUAUGAUUCCAUUUAUGUGAGGCCUCUGCUGCUGCUGCUGCUGCUGCUAAGUCGCUUCAGUCGUGUCUGACUCUGUGCGACCCCAUAGACGGCAGCCCACCAGGCUCCCCCAUCCCUGGGAUUCUCCAGGCAAGAACACUGGAGUGGGUUGCCAUUUCCUUCUCCAAUGCAUGAAAGUGAAAAGUGAAAGUGAAAAGUGAAAGUGAAGUUGCUCAGUCGUGUCUGACUCUUAGCGACCUCAUGGACUGCAGCCUACCAGGCUCCUCCGCCCAUGGGAUUUUCCAGGCAAGAGUACUGGAGUGGGGUGCCAUUGCCUUUUUGGUGAGGCCUCUAGUAGAGUCAAAUUCAUAGAGACAGAAAAUAGAAUAAUGGUUUCCAGAGGGUGAAGGGGGAAAUAGGAAUUACUGCUUCAUGGAUACAGAGUUUCACUUAUGGAGACGGAUGGUGGCGAUGGUCCCACAACAAUGUGAAUGUACUUGAUGCCACUGAACUGGGCACUUAAAAUAUUCAAAAUGGUAAAUUUUACAUAUAUUUGAUCACAAUAAAACAAGCACUACUGGUACAAUGAUUUGGAAAGCAAUUUAGCAACAUCCCAU
ensembl:lncRNA